GGCCUGGCCGGGCGGUCUGCCUCACGGUAUGUACUGUCUGGCCGGGUCUUACCUCUUGGUGAGCCGGCAUGCCCUUCACUGGGUGUGUCGGGGAACCAGGACUUUUACCUUGAGAAAAUUAGAGUGUUCAAAGCAGGCAUUUGCCCGAAUACAUUAGCAUGGAAUAAUAGAAUAGGACGUGCGGUUCUAUUUUGUUGGUUUCUAGAGUCGCCGUA
rnacentral:rRNA from 1 species